rnacentral:rRNA from 1 species
UACGAUGGGUGCUAGCGUUGCACGGAAUGACUGGGCGUAAAGGGCGCGUAGGCGGCUUAAAUAGUUAGGCGUGAAAUUCCUGGGCUCAACCUGGGGACUGCGUCUAAUACAUGUAGGCUUGAGUGUGAAAGAGGGUCGUGGAAUUUCCAGUGUAGAGGUGAAAUUCGUAGAUAUUGGAAAGAACACCGGUGGCGAAGGCGGCGACCUGGUUCAUUACUGACGCUGAGGCGCGAAAGCGUGGGGAGCAAACAGG